rnacentral:rRNA from 1 species
AUUGAACGCUGGCGGCAUGCCUUACACAUGCAAGUCGAACGGUAACAGGUUAAGCUGACGAGUGGCGAACGGGUGAGUAAUGUAUCGGAACGUGCCCAGUCGUGGGGGAUAACUGCUCGAAAGAGCAGCUAAUACCGCAUACGACCUGAGGGUGAAAGCGGGGGAUCGCAAGACCUCGCGCGAUUGGAGCGGCCGAUAUCAGAUUAGGUAGUUGGUGAGGUAAAGGCUCACCAAGCCGACGAUCUGUAGCUGGUCUGAGAGGACGACCAGCCACACUGGGACUGAGACACGGCCCAGACUCCUACGGGAGGCAGCAGUGGGGAAUUUUGGACAAUGGGCGCAAGCCUGAUCCAGCCAUGCCGCGUGCGGGAAGAGGCCUUCGGGUUGUAAACCGCUUUUGUCAGGGAAGAAAAGGUUCUGGCUAAUACCUGGGACUCAUGACGGUACCUGAAGAAUAAGCACCGGCUAACUACGUG